rnacentral:rRNA from 1 species
AUCUGGGCGGCGGAAUUCAGGACGGUCGGGCGGGCCUCGCGCUCGUCGGGCCGUUUGAUAUUUCCGUCGCCGUGUCAGACGUCGCGACCUGUUCGUCGCCGGUCCUUGCUCGGAGGAAGCGCGAUCGAGUUCGUUGCGGGCGCGUUUCGGCGCGUUCCGCGGCGAAGACGCGACUCUCUGGCUGGCGACGGACAGUAAGCAACGGUGUCCGGCGUCGUGUCUCGCACUCGACGUCGGUGCCGGUCGGCGACGAUUUCUUCGGGCCUCUUUCCGACCCGUCUUGAAACACGGACCAAGGAGUCUAACAUGCGCGCGAGUCGCGGGGUUUCGAGCGUGCCACGGUGCGCUCGUUACUUCCGAAACCCGUACGUUGAAGGCGUAAUGAAAGUGAAUAGGGAAGAUGGCGUUCCGAGUCCACGUACCGUGAUCGAGUAUCGCGGCCGGACGUCCGCACUCCCGGGGCGUCUCAAUGGCUCGCCACGGAUGCGGACGGUCGUCUCUCGGGGCGGCCGUCGGUCUGUGGCGGUCCGA